CAGUAGCCACGGGAAUACGUAGGUGGCAAGCGUUGUCCGGAAUUAUUGGGCGUAAAGGGCUCGCAGGCGGUUUCUUAAGUCCGAUGUGAAAGCCCCCGGCUCAACCGGGGAGGGUCAUUGGAAGCUGGGAAACUUGAGUGCAGAAGAGGAGAGUGGAAUUCCACGCGUAGCGGUGAAGUGCGUAGAGAUGUGGAGGAACACCAGUGGCGAAGGCGACUCUCUGGUCUGUAACUGACGCUGAGGAGCGAAAGCGUGGGGAGCGAACAGGAUUAGAUACCCCCGUAGUCCCUGUCUCUUAUAC
rnacentral:rRNA from 1 species